rnacentral:lncRNA from 1 species
UGGGGGAGGGGGGGAAACACCUGACAGUGAACUGCGGUGAAAAAGAGACGCGCAGGGGAGAUGGGAGAGCCAGACGCCUGGGGCGAGGGAGAAAGAGGUAGUGCUGUCCUCAGUCUCUUGGGGCAUACUUCUUUCCCGAUCUGGCACAAACGACCCCUCAGGGCUUAAAGACUUGCGAAUGAUGGAUGAUCAAGGUAUGCAUUUCUUAAUCAAGCUGCUGUAUUUGCCCAUCUAAAGAACUGUUUAAAAAACACAUCUAGCAGAUCUCUGCCUCCAGUGCUCACAUAUUAUUUAACUCCAACUUUUACUUUUGAAAAAUCUAACUAAAAUCUUAUUCAGGCUGUGACCAAAGGAGAGGGCAGGCUAAAAAAUGUCCUAUGCAGGUGAAGGGC